rnacentral:rRNA from 1 species
AAUGAACGCUGGCGGCGCGCCUAAUACAUGCAAGUCGAGCGAGAAGACGUAGCAAUACGUUUGUAAAGCGGCGAACGGGUGAGGAAUACAUGGGUAACCUACCCUAGAGUGGGGAAUAACUAGCCGAAAGGUUAGCUAAUACCGCGUACGCUCCUUGGACUUCGGUUCAGGGAGGAAAGCGAUGCCGAGGGUAUCGCGCUCUUGGAUGGGCUCAUGUCCUAUCAGCUUGUUGGGAGGUAACGGCUCACCAAGGCUUCGACGGGUAGCUGGUCUGAGAGGACGAUCAGCCACACUGGCACUGCGACACGGGCCAGACUCCUACGGGAGGCAGCAGUAAGGAAUAUUGCACAAUGGGCGAAAGCCUGACGCAGCGACGCCGCGUGGGGGAU